GGCGGACGGGUGAGCAACGCGUAGGAAUGUGUCCAGAGGUGGGGGACAACCCUGGGAAACCGGGGCUAAUACCGCAUGGGGGCCGAGGCCCAAAGCAGCGAUGCGCCUUUGGAGCAGCCUGCGUCCGAUUAGCUUGUUGGCGGGGUAACGGCCCACCAAGGCUCCGAUCGGUAGCUGGUCUGAGAGGACGACCAGCCACACUGGGACUGAGACACGGCCCAGACUCCUACGGGAGGCAGCAGUGGGGAAUAUUGGGCAAUGGGCGCAAGCCUGACCUAGCAAUUCCGCGUGGGUGAAGAAGGUCUUCGGAUCGUAAAGCCCUCUCGGCGGGGACGAUGGUGACGGUACCCGCAGAAGAAGCCCCGGCUAACUUCGUGCCAGCAGCCGCGG
rnacentral:rRNA from 1 species